UACGGAGGAUCCGAGCGUUAUCCGGAUUUAUUGGGUUUAAAGGGUGCGUAGGCGGUUUGAUAAGUUAGAGGUGAAAUGUCGGGGCUCAACCCCGAAACUGCCUCUAAUACUGUUGGACUAGAGAAUAGUUGCGGUAGGCGGAAUGUAUGGUGUAGCGGUGAAAUGCUUAGAGAUCAUACAGAGCACCGAUUGCGAAGGCAGCUUACCAAACUAUAUCUGACGUUGAGGCACGAAAGCGUGGGUAGCAAACAGG
rnacentral:rRNA from 1 species